GAUGAACGCUGGCGGCGUGCCUAAUACAUGCAAGUCGAGCGAACGGACGAGAAGCUUGCUUCUCUGAUGUUAGCGGCGGACGGGUGAGUAACACGUGGAUAACCUACCUAUAAGACUGGGAUAAUUUCGGGAAACCGGAGCUAAUACCGGAUAAUAUUUUGAACCGCAUGGUUCAAAAGUGAAAGACGGUCUUGCUGUCACUUAUAGAUGGAUCCGCGCUGCAUUAGCUAGUUGGUAAGGUAACGGCUUACCAAGGCAACGAUGCAUAGCCGACCUGAGAGGGUGAUCGGCCACACUGGAACUGAGACACGGUCCAGACUCCUACGGGAGGCAGAAGUAGGGAAUCUUCCGCAAUGGGCGAAAGCCUGACGGAGCAACGCCGCGUGAGUGAUGAAGGUCUUCGGAUCGUAAAACUCUGUUAUUAGGGAAGAACAUAUGUGUAAGUAACUGUGCACAUCUUGACGGUACCUAAUCAGAAAGCCACGGCUAACUACG
rnacentral:rRNA from 1 species